GGGGGCGGCGUGCCUAUACUGCAAGUCGAGCGAACUGAUUAGAAGCUUGCUUCUAUGACGUUAGCGGCGGACGGGUGAGUAACACGUGGGCAACCUGCCUGUAAGACUGGGAUAACUUCGGGAAACCGAAGCUAAUACCGGAUAGGAUCUUCUCCUUCAUGGGAGAUGAUUGAAAGAUGGUUUCGGCUAUCACUUACAGAUGGGCCCGCGGUGCAUUAGCUAGUUGGUGAGGUAACGGCUCACCAAGGCAACGAUGCAUAGCCGACCUGAGAGGGUGAUCGGCCACACUGGGACUGAGACACGGCCCAGACUCCUACGGGAGGCAGCAGUAGGGAAUCUUCCGCAAUGGACGAAAGUCUGACGGAGCAACGCCGCGUGAGUGAUGAAGGCUUUCGGGUCG
rnacentral:rRNA from 2 species